UUGAGAGCCACUGGCAGGAGGAAGGGGAAAGCCAGAGGCUGGGUCAGGUAGAAGCCACCAGCGACCUGCCAUUCCCUCCCAAAGCAGGGCCACGCAGGGGGCGUGGAGAGACCAGCAUCAGGGAGGCCUAGAGACCCGCUGCCCGGACAGUGACAGUCUGGGUGCCUGCGGUUGGACAGACACUGGCUGCACAAAGACGCGGGGUUAGAGGAACUCCUCAGGAACCCCGACUCUCCGGACGCCUGGAAAACGCUUCGGAUUGGACACAAUUUCCUGUCCCAAAGGAGAUGUCUCCCAGAAGGAAGUAGAAGACUCAAGCCAGGAGAAGACACAGGACUGAUUCAAGGCUGUGGGCCCAGAAGUAACCUUCCUUGAGGUCUCUUCAGCAACAGAAAAUACCCAGAGACUCUCACACCUUUAUUAGCAGACCUUGUUUUGUUGUUCUUUUCCUCCUUGGAUACCAGAAGCUUCAGAAGAAAUGACCUCAUCUCCUACACCAGGCAGCUCUGGAUGGUAAGAACGGUCUCUCUGACAGACACUUCCAUUGCCAAUUCUCCCAGAUUAACAGCGGUUUCAUAGAACAGCACUCUGACAAGGAGGGAAAGAAAGGGAGGCAGAUUUAUACUUAAUUCGUGAACAGCGUCAAGAGGAGGAUGGGUUCUGCUGAGAAUGUCUUCAUCUUUGGAAGGAUUAUUAAAGUCAGAGCUUAUUCCUCAUGUGAAUCAUCGAGAUUUAAGGCAAGAAUCCUUUUGUAUGAGAACGGUAACCAGUCGCAGGGAAGGCUCCGGAAGACAGCCUCCCAGGCCGGGCUGUGGGCCCUCCUGCACGGGCUGGGGGAUUCAGGGCAAGCAAGCCGAAGGUUCAUUUGAUCAGGAAGGAGGCCUGGUCCUCACUCCCCGGUCCCUGAAAUGUGGACUCACGUAGCGGGAAUGCCAGAAACGUGUCUGGGGGAGCCCAUCAGGUUGACCAGAAGCAUCGCCCUGCUUCGCUCAGCCCGGUGUGAUUUGGACAGACUGCCCCAUCUCCAGUUGGAAAAUUGCUUGUCUCCAGUUUCCUGUCUUUUCAUCUGGUCUUUCAUUUUCAAUUGUUACCUUUGGUUCUGAGUGAGGAGGACACGUGCCUUUUUUGGGGGGUAAAUAUAGACCAGGCUGAACAUAGCACGCUGGGCAUCAUCACAGGUCCUGACUCCUCCCCUUGGUGUCUCCACGCUGGAGAAUUCACGUGGCCCUUUUCCUCAGCCCUUCAGCUCUGUCUAGACAGCAUUCAAGUCAUCAAAUACUGGAAAGAAGGCCGAAAUCAGUGCGAACAUUUACUGUGCUGGGAUUGAUCACUUUGGAGGCGAAGGUUGCGGGGGUGGGGAGGGAUCCCAUUCAGGGACCACAGUCUUUUCUUUGGUGUCUCUUCAACUCCAUUAAAAAUGAUCACAACAAAAUCAUGGGAUGUCAGCCCUGGGGGGCAUCUUGGAUGUCAUCUUAGCCAAGCCCCGCAUGAUGCAAGAACCCUCCAGAAGCAUCGUGGCUGGCUGUGGCUGGCUCAAACAGUCAGACAUUUUCUCUGAUGGAGCGUGGACUCCUUUUAGGAGAGAAUUCACUCUUCCUUAGACUAAAUGAAAACUAUAAUCUGCGUGUUGAAUAGCUUCCACCCACAGACACUGAUGCCAGGCGUAUAUGUUUGUUGACUGACCACCUGACGGGCUGGCUGACUGAAUCUGACUGAGCAGAGUCCGUUGGCACAAGGAGGAGAACAGGGCAGGAGAGAAAGCGGUGGCAGUGGUGACUGGUAGUGGGACGAGUAGGAAGGGAGGAGCAAAGCACAUUUUUCUUGAAGGGUUUUUGUUUUUUUUUUUUCCUCUCUCUCUUUGGUGGAGAAUAGAGGGGAAGGCAUGAUUGUCCCAGCAAAUGUUUUCAUUCCCUCACAUCUUCUAAACAAACCAACAACCCCCCCCACCAACCCAAGCCAUCUAAUUUGUAAGUAAAUCACACUUCACAUUUAUGAAAUGAAUUGAAUUACUUUUGAUGAGUGAAAAGUGACUAGAGCUAAGUAGUGCCUAUUUUCCUAAAUUUCCUAGUACUUUGUCAUGACAUCUUUCCCUCCCUCUCUCUGUCUCUGUCUGUCUGUCUGUUUCACACACACACACACACACACACACACACACCCUCCAGAGCUUACAGAUCUUGUCUUCUGGCCUCCUCAGAGCAAGCUAGCUAGCUAGAGCCGCUCACAGUGACCUUUGCUUUAACUCCGUCACCCUCCCCCUCUGCCUCUCCGUCCUCAAACAGCUGCCCCCCUGCCCAUUAGGAGGGCUCAAGGCCCUCCCUGCCUCUCCCCACCCCUGCGCACCCCUCCACAGCUCCCUGUUCUGGCAGGGCUGUUGGGUUAGAGCUGGAGCCUCCUCACAGACAUCAGACAGGCAGCAAACACGCUUUGCUUUGUUCCUGCUGCCGUGUGGGAGGGCUGGGGAGGAUCCCCAGGGCGCAGGCUGCAAGCGCUCUCCUGAAUCUCAAAAUGAAGACGGCUCACACCGGCUUGCUUGCACAGCUUCGGCUUCGCAUGUUGCUCCUGGAUCUGGGAUCCCAUAAUCCAUGGGAGUUGCUGAUACUGUGGCUGCCACUGGUAUUCUGGAUCCUUCCCAGAUAGGUCAUCUCCCUUAUGGCAGGCCCCUGGUCACCCAGUAUCUGGAACUGUGAUGCCCCAGCCGCCAGAGCCAAGUGAGAUAGAUGGCCAGUAGGGAACUGUACGCCGUUCUCCGGCCUCAAGGACAGCUGAGCCAGAUAAUACUGGCUUUGGUAAUUGAGCUACAAAUAGACCCUUGGCUUUUUGCCUUUCCUUUUGCAGAUAACUGGAGUUAUAACUCAUCAAAAAUCUACAAGACUGUCUCUGUGCACUAGUCCUUAGACACAGAAUUCUCUGGGUUGAAAGGACGCUAGAUGUGAACCAAGGUUUAUGGGGCUCCUAGUAUGCGCCGACCUUCUGCUGGCAGGUUUACUUCCAUUCAUCCAAUACAGAAUGACUUUUUCAAUCCCAUGCACGGAAAUAGGUCGUUCCAUCAGCACUUCGUUAAACCAAAUAUUCCAGGAUGAUUUUCACGUGGCUCUGUUCUGCAGUUAGCGGGUGUCCUGCCUGUCUGUCCCCUCAGACUGGGAGCUCCGUGAGGGCAGGCCACAGAGCUCCCAGCAUGGGCUCUGAUACCCAGGGGCUCAACAAAGGCACGUGCGGCGGAAUUUCGGUCUGCAGCGCUCCCUUCCACUGGACCCAGAAAUAGCCACAUAUCCUCAGCAGAGGGAGUCUGGCCUCCAUGCCCAUGGCCCCCACGUACAGAUGGUGAGACACGGAUAGAAGAGUCAGAAUGUGUUCCAGGUGCCCUGUCAGAACCAUACCGACAGUACAGAGGGGCCUAAACCCAAGUCUUAAAGUUGUCCUCCUCUGUAUGACCUUAGCUUAAUGACAGGAAGCCACAUGCUUCCUUUGGCCUGAGACGCCUAGAGCAGCAUCUCUCCUCCCAUUAAAUGUUAGCAGGUUGGCAGCCACACCUCUCUCAUUUUGCUGGAUAAUUUCCAUUUUAGGUAUUCUGUCCCAUUGUUCCUGUCCAUUCACGUGUAUGUGUCAGACUGUGCUAUUUCCAGUUCGGAAAGCAGAGUUUGGAAUUGCACUCUCGAAGAAUCAUUCGUCUGGUGGUUCAUACAUCCCCUGGGAUCAUUUGGGUUCCUUCUAAAGCCGUGACACUGAGACAAGAAUUCACGUGAAAAUAGUGUAUUGGGGGAGGUGCUGAGAAAACCAGAGGAAAUGCAGAGAGAGCUAAGAAAGCGAAGGCAGAGCUAAUGACCGAGGGGCAGUGACCUAGCCAGCUACCCAGGUGGGUGAUAGGGGCUGACUCCUGUCAGGGAAAAUCUGGGGCUCCCGGUCAAACUGUGUUCAGCUCACCUGGAGAGGGCGGGGCUGGGGUAUUCUUCAGUGGUGCUCAUCAGUCAUUGGUUGCAGGAUGCUCCCUGCACACCCCCACCCCUGGGGGCCACUCUCAACCUGCCAUCAGUUAGCAGUCACAGACGGUGCUUCAGUGGAGAGGGGAAGUCCCCAGGCAGCAAGACGCUGAUGCUGGCAGGUGGCAGCUGGAGUGGUGUGCGUAGGCUUCUAAGAGCCGAGAGAUGUGGUGGGGCGACUGGUCAAGUAUUCUACACCUUCUUCCCUCUAGGAGAUGUGACUGCAAUGUGGGGCUGUUGCUUGUAAUGACUGAGAGCAAAGCCCUUUAGGAACAGGACCCAGGAUAUAAAUCAGUGGCUAGAGAGCUCAAAGAUACAGAUACUGAAAAAUGUGGUAGGUAGGCGCUAAUGCCAGCUCUUCAUGCCUCUUGAUUCUGUGUGGUCUGGUCUGGUUAGUCCUACAGGGACAGGAGGCGAGGUGGGCAGGGCUGUUUCUAACAAAUGGGUGGGUGUGCCUGACCCUAUCAGAGGCCUGGAGUCUGUGUGGCAGAGUUUCAUUGGGACUUUAGCAGGAGAACACAA